rnacentral:pre_miRNA from 1 species
UAUGUACUCCCUCCGUCCCAAAAUUCUUGUCUUAGAUUUGUCUAGAUACGGAUGUAUCUAAUACUAAAACGUGACUUGAUACAUCCGUAUCUAGAUAAAUCUAAGACAUGAAUUUUGGGACGGAGGGAGUAUUUG